rnacentral:rRNA from 1 species
CGCAUAGAAGUAAAGAGAUGGAGCUGCAAUGUCGUUUCCAAGAUUCAGCUUGGCAGGCUUUUGACGUAGUCGCCCUGAUCGUUUGACUGGGUGGCUGCUUCGUGCAUGUGUCUGUUGGGUGCAUUUAUUGGAAAUGAGCACUGCGACCGGUACUUGUGCCGGUAGAAGCUUGAAAUAUCGUGGGCAGGCCAAUUCGGUAUCUGAUUCCCAUUUUUCAAUGCCUACCUGGUUGCGAGAACUGUUGAACGUCGUUGCACUGGCUUGUCUCGGACUGCGUGGUAAGGUCUGGAGUAUGUUCGUCUCUGCUUGCAGGGUCUGACGUGCUUAGGACUUGUAAUAUGCAAAUUCCGACUUUGUGUAACGGGUCUGCGGUGUAAGUGUCAGCGACCCAUCUCACCCGUCUUGAAACACGGACCAAGGAGUCUAACAUGUCCGCAAGUCAUUGGGUUGCAAACCCACAGGCGCAAUGAAAGUAAUUAUUUGAUGUACGAUCUCUGCCUUGUGAGUAGAGCGCAGUACAGUCCUGUCUUAUUUGCAUUGUCAAUUAGGCAGAGAAAGAGCGGACCUGUUGGGACCCGAAAGAUGGUGAACUAUGCCUGAGCAGGAUGAAGCCAGAGGAAACUCUGGUGGAGGUCCGUAGCGAUUCUGACGUGCAAAUCG